AACGAACGCUGGCGGCAUGCCUAACACAUGCAAGUCGAACGAGACCUUCGGGUCCAGUGGCGCACGGGUGCGUAACGCGUGGGAACCUGCCCUUAGGUUCGGAAUAACUCCCCGAAAGGGGUGCUAAUACCGGAUAAUGUCUUCGGACCAAAGAUUUAUCGCCCUUGGAUGGGCCCGCGUUGGCUUAGCUAGUUGGUAGGGUAAAAGCCUACCAAGGCGACGAUCCAUAGCUGGUCUGAGAGGAUGAUCAGCCACACUGGGACUGAGACACGGCCCAGACUCCUACGGGAGGCAGCAGUGGGUAAUAUUGGACACUGGGCGAAAGCCUGAUCCAGCAAUGCCGCGUGAGUGAUGAAGGCCUUAGGGUUGUAAAGCUCUUUUACCCGGGAUGAUAAUGACAGUACCGGGAGAAUAAGCUCCGGCUAACUCCGUG
rnacentral:rRNA from 1 species